CUUGAUCUCUAAACAAAAUUCGAUCUAUUAUGAAACACUUUCCAAAAGCACUCUUGAUUGGACUCGGACUCGAACUCGCAGCUGAAAACUAUAACUUCCCGACUCGAUGUAGGACUCGAAGAGGGACUCGGUGUAGGACUGGAAGAAGGACUCGGUGUAGGACUCAAAGAGGGACUCGGUGUAGGACUCGAUGAGGUAACCAAAAGCAAGUUCGAUCUAGUAGAAAAAAUCUGAAAAACGAUCCAAUCUAAUCCAGCAACUCGACACGAUUAAUGCAGCAAAGAUUCAACAAUGCAAAUACUAAUGUGAAAAUUGCAAGGCUCAGAUUGGUUCUAGGACAAGGUAACUAAUUCUAAUUUUUGUUUGGCUUUUUCUGGACGAUAGGUAAAAACAGAUCUAAACUACGGAUAAACUGGAAAAAACUCACCGAGCAACCUUAAGCUCUGAUAGCACGUGAUAGCCUCGAGGGUGUCCCGAUCUUUCGAUGAGAUACCUAAUUAUCGAUUUGGUAGGAGGUGACGUUGACGAUCCGACUACAACCUAGGAGGCAGCGCCUUAGCGAUCGAUACACCAACUCCAGAAGGUUAUUGAUCCCACGGGGGCACGAUCAACCUGACCACGAAGGUCUUUGUUCCUGCAAGCAAUCGAAGAACAAGCAAGAACAAGAUGAAAAGCAAUCUGAAAUUGCGAAUAGGAGAUAUGAAGGUUCACGAAUCUGAAUACUCAAUAUAGUUGGAGUCUUGAUGACGGUAAAACAGGUGGUCUAACCGACACACGCGAUUACACGAAAGUAGCAAAGGCUAAACUUUAUCUAAUCAAAACCCAAGGCUCCAUGGGGGGGCUCAUGGGGUAUAAAUAGGAGGGGAACUAGGUGGUUUUCGGACAGGCCCUUGAGGGACUCCGAAACGGCCUAGGAAUCCUCGUAAAACACAACGAAAACAUCUAAAAGUUGGCUGGACCCUAUUAUAUGGCCUUAGGCCCAAUAAAGCAAGGUUAUAACCCUCAUCUUUGGCCCAUAGAUACCCAUUGGAGGGAGAAUCCUCCACUUGGCCGAAAUCCCAUUGAUGAAGAGGAUGCGGCCUUCUUCUCAUCUCUCGUUAUGGCGGUUUCAAUGUUCUGAAAUCAUCACUUGAGCUAGCUCCCGCCACCUUGCUGCCACCUCCAUGGUUUGCUGUCCAACGCUGAUCCUUGAGGUGCAAGCUAGGUCCUUCAUUCCUAAAACACAUAAAAGAACCCAUCUUAGGCAGCAGCAUAUUCUCAUUAAUAUUAAAUGAAGUACCGAGGAACGAAAGUACCUGAUAAUUUAGUUGUCGUGCACGAGCUCUAGUAAAGUGUCCGUGUAUCUUCGGUACUUGAGGUGUAUGUGCUGUAGGGGCUGUGGUUGUAUCAUUAGUUGGGAUGUCCUCAUCAUCGGCGUGGCGGGCGGGGAGUCGCUCCUCCCCCUUUUGCUGGCACCCGCCGGCGAGUUGGACUUCGGGGGUUACGCCGGAGCGCGAAGCCUCGGAAGACCCCCUGAGCGGGCGGAGCCGUAGGCGCCCGCGGGGUCGCCGUGACCCGGAGUGUCGCGGGUGUCGACGGUGAUGCCGCCGCGGUAAAAGGAGCCAGUCCAGGGGAGGCUGCCCGAAAACUGUCGUCGAGGCUUCGGCGACCCCCGCGGUCGCGGGCGCUGCCAGCGUACCAACGGGCGCCCCGGGAGCGGCUACCACCACGGUGCGGGCGGCCGCCACCGCCGCCGAAGGUCCGGCGACCCCUGCGGCCCCGGACGCUGCCAAGGUACCGACGGGCGCCGCCGAAGCUGUCGUCGUCGAGGAGACAGCCGCAGCCGCUGCGAACGCCCUUGAUCUCCACACGAUCAGGGGCGCGCUGUCGCUGUCCUCGUCAUCGUCGUCCACGGGGACGACUUCCGGGGACGCUGCCGCCUGGCCUGCCUCGUCAUCCAGUGACUGGAGGGAGGGCCAGCGGGGCUCGGAUCCGCCCCCGCUCUCCUCGAGCACCUGCUUCCCGCGGAGUGCUGGCAGGGGAGCGCGCGGGGCCCGAGUGGGGGUGUCGUCCAUCAACCCCCACUCGUUGCAGGGCGGGAAGGCGCCGACGAUGUCGCUGAGCGCCGCAACGCCAGCAUGAAGGGAGGAGACCCCCAACGGGAACUAUGUUGAUUGGAAGGUCUCGCCGAAGAUCCCCCUAACUCACGUCCUGAGGGUCUCCAAGUCCAUGCCGUCCUGCUGGAGGCGUGUUCUGUCCCCGGGACCCGUGUACAUCCACGCGGGCCGGGAGCGCAGUUGUAGCGGUGCGAUACGAUGGUGGACGAAGGUGCGCGCCACGUCCACGUCGGUGAGCCCCACUAGCCGCAGCGCCUUGAUCUUCUCCACGAUGGGGAGGUGGUCGGCGUCGCGGUGGUACCUGUCUUGCCAGCCGCUGUGGGGCUGCGGCACCUCCGUGGGCGCGAGGAUGAACUCUUGGGGGUCGUCCACCCGGACCCAGCACCAAUGCCCCUGCCACUCCUUUUCAAUCUUCUUCCCUGACCGGACUAUGAACUCGGACUUCAUCUGGUCGCGGGCACGGAACACCACUCCUGACGACAUCGCGUUCGCGUUGUCAAUGCGGGGGUAGAAGUAGUGGCAGAAGAGCCCCACCGACGGCAUCACCGCAGAGGAAUUGGAAGGUGGCGAGGAGGAACAGCGACGUGGGGUGGAGCUGCGCCACCCGCAGCCGAAACUUUCCGGACUUAUAUCAACUUAUAGAUCGGAUCGGAAUCUCUUCGUAUGGGAAGCAAACUCUAAAAAGGAAAACAAAAUAAACCUGGUUUGAUACGGUAUGUGAAAUCGACAACGAUACGGAUAUGGAUAUGGUGGCGGAAUUGGUGGUGGCGGAAGAUGGUAAGUGAAACCGAAAUUGAUACGGUUAUGGAUACGUGGUGGCAUGGAAGAUCGGCGAGCGAGGCGAAGCGGUGUGACGGCGGCGUGAUGGCUAUGAACAGAACUCGAAACUCUAAAGGUCUAGACUCUAAAACCAGCACUCGACACGACGAUGCAGACUAAAAUGCAACAAUGCACGUACUGAAAGAAAAGAUGCAAAGGCUCGAAAUUGUUUGUAGGACAAGAUCUAACCCUAAUAUCUUUUUUGGCUUUUUCGUGGACUGUAGGAAUAAAUCAGAUGCAACUAAGCUAGGAAAACAGUAAGAUCUCACCGAGAAACCUGAAAUCUGAUACCACUUGAUAGGGGAAAAGAUGCCCGAUCUUUCGAUGAGAAGAUAGCUAUCGAUUUUUGGGUGGAUGUCGACGUUGAUGAACCGGCUACAAACGUGCGAGACGUUGCGCCUUAGCGAUCGCUACACCAACUUCCGAGGUUAUUGACCACGCCAGAGCUAGAUCAACCUGAUCACAAAGGAUCAAUCCCUGCAUGCAACCGAAGAACAAGCAAGAAUUAUAGUUGCAAUCGAGAUAUUGCGAAUAAAGGUGAAGCUUUAGUGAUGGGAUUCUGCAAGCGCGUAGUACAAAAGGUCGAUUUGACACUUGUGCCUAUGGCGAAGAGUAGCAAAAGGCUAAGUCUUAAACUAAACAAAAUCCGAGUCUAAACGAAGACCUAACGGGGGUAUAUAUGGAGGACUAGAGGGGUAUGCGGCCAGCCUUGGGAAAGAAGGCCGAAACCCACUCUAGGUUGGUUUCCUUCACCUAUACGGACUCUAAAAGUCCAGCCCAUGUAUGUGGACGAAAAUUACAUGGGCCUAUCCCAAACUUAAAAGGUGACGCAGCACCAUAUAAUUAUGUGGACGAAAAUAUGAAGGGAAAAGCUCUAUAUUUCGCCCACGUCUUCAUCUCUCAUUAUGGUGGCUUCAACGUUCUGAAAUCUCCCGUUGCAGCGCCAUCUUCAAUCCUCACACGCUUGCUGCCUUCAUCUCCAUGCGUGAUCAUGCUCCAAUGCUUGUCCCUCUCAUCCAUGCUAGGUCCAUCAUUCCUAUGUGUGACAAACACAUCUGAUUUAGGCAGCAUCAUAUUCUCAUGUAUGUGAAGAAUCGUUCCAAGAAACGAAAGUACCUGAUAAUUAAGUUGGCGUGCGCGAGCUCUUGUGAUAGGUCCUUGUAAUGUAACUGUAGGGGCUGCGGGUGUAUCAACAUGUGGGAUGUCCUCAUCAGCAUACUUUUGGUAUGUCGGCCGGUUGUUAAGUCGGCUUAAGGAUGCCGGUGCACUUGCUUACGCCGGCUUUGCUCUUGCUAUCCUGGCUAAUAUGUGUCAUCAUGACCCUACCCGGGGUCAUCCCCCUGACACUAGUCCCCAAAGCUGUUGCGGUCCGACAGGAGUCGAUCGCGUUCUGCUUUCGUCUUCUCGAGCUCAUCAAUAAGAUUUGUCAUGGAGAGGAUGAUUGGCUGAACAAUCACAGUCUCAAGUCAUUUCUUGAGCAUCACUCCCACCUGGAGGCAAAAAGCAACAACAAAAGGCAAACUAUUUACUUACAUGCUGACUCGAAGACGGAAUCGUCGCCUGAGGAGGAGUUGGUUCAUCUGGUCGAUUCCCUCUGCUCACUUCUGGGGGAUUAGACGCUGAGGCUUCUUCGGGUUGAGCCGCCUUGUCCUUGGUUGGUUGGUCCGACCCUUUCAAGUCCGGACCAGUUGACUCAGCCUCGGGAGCCUUUUUGCUCUCGUCUAAGCCACCAGUAUGGCUGAACAUGAGUUUUCGGAGGUUCAAUAAAAUCUCUAGAACAAUGAAACAAAAUCGGCGAGUUGCUUACCUGCCGCAGUCAAACCGAGCAAGAAGGCCAUAAUGACGUGCUGCAACAGGCCCACCGGAUUUGGUUCUUUUGAACGCAGGUACGGUCACUGACGACUCGAUAUUCAGGUCCCUCGUGCCCAUUGGUCGGGUCUAUACCAGCAGGCUAUUGUCUUCUCUGCCGCGCUUCUUUGCUGGUGUGGAAACAUUGCUCGGCUCAUUGUCGGGUCCCUGGAGUCAAAAGCAUAAUCAGAAAAACAGUUCAGGUCAAGGCUGAAAGAUUUGUUAAAAGUCUCGGUGACUACCUUUUCCCAGGGUCUAUCAGGCCCAUAGGGAGCCAUUGGAGGGAAAAUUUCACAUGGCUCUGACUUAUCCAAGUCAGUGAGCCGUCGAACCCGUCGACACACCUCAGUCGAAGGAAAUUCUACUAUGCUAAUCCAGGUUGGGUCACGAAUCCCUUGAUAUCUCACAUGGGAUGAGCACGAGCUUGCAGAGGUUGGAUUCUCCUCCAGAUAAAAGCAACAAUGAGGUGGAUUCCCGUCACCUUCAGCUGAGGAGUCUCCAUGAGAGAGAAGACCUGGGCCAUCAGAGUUUCGGCUUCUUCGCUCUCUGACCCUCUUAACUUAUGACUCCAGGCCGCCGUCUUCUUCAGAGAAGACGUCACGGAGAAUUCAGGAAGACUGAAUCCGCGCCCCUGGGCUGGCGCGUCCAUGACGUAAAACCACUUUGAUUUUCAUCGAGGAAGUGAUUCCCUCGCUCGGAGGUCGAAGAAUUUGGCAUCUGCAUGAACUUGAAUGUCCACACAGCCAAUUGCAUCUUUUUCGUGACGCUUGAUUGUGAACAUUUUCUUCCAAAGACCCAGGUGUGGGCUUAUCCCAAGGAAGCAUUCACACAGCGUCAUGAAAAACACGCAAUGUGGAGAUAGGAGUUUGGAGAAAGAUCGCGAAGUUGGAGCCCGUAUGCGAAAAGAAAGCAGGUGAUAAAAUCAUAAUGCACUACCCGCUCUCCUUGCAUGGGAUGAGGAAUUACAUCCUCACUGGGAAAUUGCACAUGUCCGGGUCACGGGGAUAGAAACCCUUCUUCUUGCAUGCCAGCUACACUGUCGCGAUCCACGGCAGACAAUGGCCAAGCCUCCGCAGUCUUCCUACUCUUCCCCAUUUUACUGGGUCGAAAGAUUUCUUAUCCUUAGCAGGUAACAUGUCGCACCAGUGGCACCCGGGGCGCCACCGCUGCGCGACGCGUGGGCCACCUCGCUUGGUCCCCGGAAGGAUCGCGCCCCGGGCAGCUCCGCGCGAGAUGCCUGCCAAGUCGCCAGCCCGGCAGGGCUAGCCGGGUUGCGGAGGUUUGCCUUGCGCGGCAGCAGGAGGGAUCCCGCCUGGACACUUCCCGGGAAGUUCACUUGUCGGGAGAGUGUUCCCGGGCGCAAGUAACCGUUGCGAAGGCAAGAGCGAGCGGGAGCAACAGCGGGCACGCCGCUCACAUGUUUCGUCAGGACGAGGAGUGAAGCACACGCCAGCAUUUAAUGCUCCGACCAAAAGGGGAUUCCCUCUCCUUUCAGCCAGCAGUGACCUGCCUGGAGUAAAUUUCAGGCGCCUAGACCCCUAGCUGCAGGGCUACCUAGUUUGCAUGCAAGCCAACGCACCGAGGGGGAGCUGCCCUAGCUCUCUGCUCGCCAUUUGUCACCCAUGCACCGUGGCACCUGUGGCAUCCCCUUCAGCAUAAAAGGAGGACGCCCGCCAACGGUCAAAGGGUUGGACCAGUUCUAAGUUCACUACUAGCAAUAGCCCAAAGUAGCAAACCGUACUUAACCGAGAAAAGAGAGCGCCCGGGGACUCCCCACGGCAACCUGUAAACCCCAGUUCUUUGGCUAAUAACAGAACUCAGAAGCAGGACGUAGGGUUUUACACCUCAGGGUGGCCCGAACCUGGGUAAAAAGUGUUCUCGUGUUCGUCGUGCUCGCACGCUUCGCAUUGGCCCCGCCGGCGAUCGCCGGAGCGAUCCCCGCAGCCCACUGCCAAACCUAAAAGGGGGUGCCCACGCAUCCCCGGUGUCAAAGCCCCGUGCUACGACAGAACGCGAAGAGUUAUCGACUAUGGAAGCUAAAACCUUGGGCGUCUGAGCUCUGUUCGCGGGGAGGAAGAAGGGUUAAACUAAUUUACCCCACCUCCAUCUUUAUGCUUACUUUGGCAAACAAUCCGGGCCGCACGAUCUCGUUCGUGGCCAGGUGUUCUGCAUCAGCCGGAAUAUGAAACGGCAAGGAUGGAUAUAACCGCUUACAUCGUGGGCGCAGGAAUCAAUGAGAUCAUCAUUGUGUCUUGUUUACUGCACGAAGUGUGAUCAUUUCUCCACUGACGCACGUCAACAGCGUGCCUAGCUGUCAGGCUAGACUAUGCACCCAGUCACAUCGGCUAACCAAACGGCUCUUCACCUUCAACAGGUACGUCAUCCAUGACGAAGUCUGACUCGAAUAUCAUGACUUGAAACUAUCUUUCAUACAGAAUGAUGGAGUUUACCAUAGAAAUGUUGAGACUCGUCUUGAGUCUCGCCUGUGAAUACAAGGACUCUCAUUCGAGUCGCUAUCUAACCGACUGUUGGUUUAUAUUGGUUAAAGACUUCAUACAGUCAGCUAUUGUUUAUUUUUUACUUACACAAGUAAAAUCGGGUCAACAACCUUGACAUAAAAACAGUCGAUUUCAUAUGCUCAUUGCAUGAAGUUAAGACCCGAAAGUUCUCUAUCGGGCCUAGAACCGUACCAGCUACGUUGAUCCAGUCGAAUCCAUACUCAUUGUAUGAAGAUAAGCAUUAAAAAUUAGGCCUGGAUAUGCAUCGACUGCAUCUCUCCGGUAAUAAUUCUCACUUAAGGGUUGUUCCCUACAACCAUGUUCAUUACAUGAAGAUAAGACCCGUAGGCUUCCUAUAGGGCUUGGAAACGAACCAGCUGUGUAUUUCCAGCAUAUGCCAUCUUGACGAACGAGUCGAGUACUUAAAAACUGGAGUUCGACUCUAUAAGACCCUUGCAGGCUAAGUCGAAUUUCGCCAGUUGCCAGGUUGGAGCCCGGGUAAAUACUGAAGAAGGCUAGUGUUGUAUUUGCCCUGGAGCGAUUAACUGGGCUCGAACUUCUCGAUUAUCUAGGCACAUUAAGCAUAUAUCCCUAUGACCCCUUCUCAUUGCAUUUGAUUUGACCUGCUAUCAAAAUCAUAUUGUGAAACUGUUACUUAACAGUUGAACACUAAAGCAUUGGCUCGGACAUUCUUUGAGUCGAAUUGCUUCUCAUUCGAAGUCCAACUCGAUGAAAUAUCAGGUCUGUAGCACUAUACAACUGGCUCAACAGCAAAAUGAGUUCAUUCUUUACGGGGAAAGUCCCUACUCAAGUCUUUGACUCAAAUAGGCACUUGGGGGCUACUGACGUGGUUAUGACUAACCACGUACUCGACUCGAGUAUACCCGUUACGGCCCAGCUGGGGGCCCACAAGGAAGCCUACUAUGACUCCAGGAGUCUACGUGCCAAUCUACGUGCCAAAUCUUGCGAACCAAGAUAAGGAAGAUUAAUUAGAGUAUAUCUCUUCACUGUAACCGACUUGGACACUACCUUAGACCUAGGUUCCUUCAUAUAUAAAGGACUAGGAGGGGGAGCCAAGAGGACACCCCAGCUUAGAUAGAAGUUGCCUAGACGCACUCGUCAGAUCGAAUCUGUGCAUCUAGCCUCCGCGGCACCCCAUUGUAAUCGACUCAUCAAUACAGAUUAGACAAACAGGACGUAGGGGUAUUACCUCAUCGAGGGCCCUGAACCUGGGUAAACCGUGUUCCCUGUGUCCUUGUUUGCCAACGAGUUUGCCAACACAUACACUCGAAAUCUUUCCUAGAUACAAGUCCAUCAACAUGGGCAUUGUUGAAGUCACCCCUUCGUCACCUGGGAACCAUAGCUGAGCUGCACACGGUGGUGCAGAAGCCGGGGGAGACGUUGCGGGACUUCACCAACAGGUUCUCCAACAUCUCCUACUCCAUCCCAGAGGCGGAAGCGGCCGCCAUCAUCAACACAUAUGCCAUAAAUGUCCGCGGUCCGAAGAUGCGUGAGAAGUUGAACACGCACCAGAUCAAGACCACCAGGGAUUUGUACGCCCUCGCGCACAAGUGCGCGAUUGCCGAGGAAGGGCGCUUGGCGCCUGAGCUUGCCUCGAAGGCGGCGGCAAACCCACCCGAGGGCUUCGGGAAGAAGGGCUACCAGAAGUGCGGCGGGAAGCAAGUAAUCGCCACGGAAUCGGGGGCUCCCCAGAGGCCCACGAAGAAGGCUGCAUCGACAGGCGCAUCGGGUAGCAAGCCGGCAACGGCCGCUCACUGCUCCAUCCACGCCAAUGCCACCCACGACGGGCAGGACUGCCGCACUCUCCAAACCAUCAAGGAGAAGUGCGAGCAGAGCCACGAGGAGCGCCGUGCCACUGGAGGCUGCUGCAACUGCGGGGCUAUCGGGCACGUCUCCCGUGACUGCCCGAACAACCGCCGCAACGGAGCAGGCCAUUGCGGGGCCAACAACGGCGACAGGGGAGAACCCGCGAGGGGCCGCGGUCAAGGCCGUGGCGGCAAAGACCUGCCUCCUCGGGGACGCAACAAGCCUCGUGCUGACCAGCGCGAGGACGACUGCAGCGACGACGUCGACGAGCCUUGCUUCCAGGAGCCUCGCGACGUUGCCUGCAUCCGCAAGGGAGCAUACGCUCUCACGUCUCACACUGCCAUGAAGCGGCUCACCCGUGAGGUGUGCGCCCUCCACCCCAGCCAUUGAGGUGGUCGCAUGUGCCGAGCACCUUCAACUCAGAUAAUCACCCCAUCCGUCCCUUGGGGUCAGGGGUUUUACCCCUCGUGGUGUCGCCGAUCAUCAACAACGUGACAAUGACCAAGCUUCUGGUGGACAACGGAGCGAGUCUCAACCUCCUGUCCGCCAAGUUGGUGGAGAAACUUCAACUUCCCCUAGAGCAGAUGAAGCCCACCGACCCGUUCCGGGGGAUUAACCCCAGAGUGGUGCAGCCCAUGGGGCGAAUCACGCUCCCGGUAACCUUCGGGUCCCGGGAAGCGUUCCGGACUGAGCACAUCAUCUUUGACGUGGCUCACACCCCAUUGCCGUACAACGGGAUCAUUUGUUGGCCUACGCUGAUCAAGUUCAUAGCGGCGACUCAUUGCGCCUACGGCAUGAUGAAGAUGCCGUCAUGCCGUCAAUGUAUGGGGUACUCUCCAUCAACUGCGACUUGAAGGACGCUGCUUGGUGCGUGGGCGGGGUCGUGAAGACCUCCGCAGUGGCGGAUCCCGGCGACUUCGACGUUGCCUGGAACGAGGAUCCACUUGCGGGCAAACAGCCCGCACAGAAGAAGGCGCGAGCCUCCCCCGGGUAGGACGUCGGGGGCAGUACCAGCUCCAAGUCGCGCGUUAGCAAGGGCAUGAGGCUGAAGGAGGAGGGCGCCAAGGUCAAGAAGGUGCCCCUACAAGCCGGCAACGAGGCACGCACCGUCUCCAUCCAUGCGGGCCUCGACCACAAAUAGGAAAGCGCCCUCAUCGCCUUCCUCCGGGGAAGCUGUGACGUGUUCGCUUGGGAGCCGUCAGAUCUUCCCGGAGUCCCCAGGGAGGUGACUGAGCAUCGGUUGGCAGUUCGGCCGGAUGCCCGACCCGUCAAGCAGAAGGUUUGUCGGCAAGCAUAUGAACGCAAGGACUUCAUCCAGCAAGAGGUGGAGAAGCUCAAGAAUUCCGGGGAGAUCAGGGAAGUGUUGUACCCCACUUGGUUAGCAAAUCUUGUUGUAGUCCCUAAGGCAGGAAAUAAAUUGCGCAUGUGUGUAGAUUUUACUGAUCUUAAUCGCGCAUGCCCUAAGGACCCUUUCCCUAUACCCCGUAUUGAUCAAAUAGUAGGUUCCACAGCGGGUUGUGAGUUGUUGUGCCUUUUAGAUGCUUUCUCCGGCUACCUUUAGAUCAAGAUGGUAGUCGAAGACGAGGAAAAAACAGCGGAUUCGUCACCCCGGUGGGCUGUUACUGUUAUACGUGCAUGUCUUUCGGGUUGAAGAACGCAGGCUCGACAUUGCAGCAUGCAUUACGUGAAUGUCUAGGACCCCAGCUAGGCCUAAACAUUGAGGCCUACAUGGGCGAUAUCGUCGUCAAGUCGAGGCGUGGGGACUCGCUCAUCGGCAACCUGGAGGAGACGUUUGACAACCUCCGCAGGAUCAAGUCAAGCUCAACCCCGAGAAGUGCACGUUCGGUGUGGACUCGGGGCACGCUUCUUGGUAUCUCACCGGGGAAUUGAGGCCAAUCCGCAGAAGAUCGAAGUGAUUGACAAGAUGGAGGCAGUCCGCAAGGUUAGAGAUGUCCAGCGCCUCAACGGCUACGUUGUGGCGCUCGGGCAUUUCAUUUCAAUGCGGGGCGAACGAGCCCUGCCUUUCUUCAAGGUGAUGAAGAAGAAGGGCCCAAUCAACUGGACCCCCGAGGCAGAAGCGGCGUUCCAGGACUUGAAGUUGUACCUGAAGUCGCCGCCGAUCCUCGUCGCCCCCAAGCUGGGCGAGCCGUUGCUGCUCCAUUUGGCUGCAACGGACCAGGUGGUGAGCUCCGUGCUCAUUGCCGAAAGGGAAGAAGAAGUCCCGGGGCCUGAAGUAGUGGCGCAGGGGGCUGCCAGAGAUUCUAGGCAACCCUCGGUAACCACUACAACCCCGAGAACCGAGGGGCAGCUAGCUCAAGUUGUCCCCCGCAAGCGGCUAGUGCAGCACCUCGUUUACCUCGUUAGCACGGUGUUGCACGAUGCCCGGGUAUGAUACCCGCAGGUCCAGAAGCUUUUUCUUGGGAUCCUACUAACUUCACGAAAGCUGCGCCACUACUUCCAGGCGCACAGCAUCAUGGUGGUGUCUGGGUUCUGCCUAUAGCGGGCCCUCACUAACCGUGAAGCCACCGGAAGGGUGGCCGAGUGGAGAAUGGAGCUGGCGGAGAUUGGACUGCGUUUCACGAACACCAAGAGCAUCAAGAGUGCCGCUCUUGCCGACUUCAUCACGGAGUGGACUUCAACAGGCAUAGAUGAAGAAGAGCCGGAAGCAAGCCUUCCCGACAAGCUAGAUGAAGGGUACUGGAUCAUGUACUUCGAUGGCUCCUUCAGCUUGCAGGGCGCCGGCGCCGGAGUAGUGAUCGAGUCGCCCAUAGGCGAUCAACUCAAGUUCGUGAUUCAGCUCGACUUCGCCAACUCCACCAAUAGCAUUGCAGAGUACGAGGGAUUGCUGGCCGGGCUGCGCGCGGUGAUCGCCCUCGUCAUCAAGCGCUUCGUAGUUCGCGGGGAUUCCCAACUCGUGAUCAACCAGGUAAACAAGGACUACGACUAUCUCCAAAUGGCAGCGUACGUGGAAGAAGUGCGAAAGCUGGAGUCAAGUUCCAAGGGCUACGGUUUGAGCACGUCAAGCGCAAGGACAACUUUGUUGCAGAUGAGCUGUCCAAGUGGGCAGCGGAACGCAACAAGGUGCCUCCUGGGGUAUUCGUGCAGAGGCAGUCAAAGCCUUCUGUCGAUCCCAAGUCAGUUGCCGGGGAAGCCCCUCUGGCAAGUCAAGGAGACCCCGCAGUCGCGGAGCACCAUGCUACUGAUCUCGUGGCAUGUUUGAGCCGGGUACCACCACCUUGGGCAGCGGAUAUCACCCGCUCCCUCAAGGAUGGGACCCUUCCGGGAGAAGACAUUGCCGCGGAGCGAGUGGCCCGGCAAGCAUGGAUGUACGCUCUAGUGGACGGGGAUCUCUAUCGGAGGUGUGCAAAUGGAGUGUUGCUCCUCUGCGUGUCCCAGGAAGAAGGGCGCAUGUUGCUGGAGGAUAUCCACCUAGGCACAUGCUCACAUCAUGUGGCUCUAGGGCGCUGGCUGGGAAAGCGUUCUGGCACGGCUUCUACGGGCCAAUAGCAUUAGCCGAUGCCGAACAGUUCGUCAAGACCUGUGAAGCUUGUCAGUUUCACGCCAAGAAAAUCAGCCGGCUCAAGCCCUCCAAGUCAUCCCGUCCUCGUGGCCGUUUGCGGUCUUAGGGCUAGACAUCGUCGGCAAGAUGCCGAGAGCCGUCGGUGGCUAUGAGUAUCUUCUUGUGGCCAUCGACAAGUUCUCCAUGUGGGUCGAGGUGGAGCCUGUGCGAAUUGUCACAGUGCAGGCGGCCAUCAAGUUGUUCAAGGGCAUUGUGUGCCGGUUUGGUGUGCCCAACGGCAUUCAGCUUGUUGCUCUCGGACGCCUUCUCGGUGAUGUCCUCGUCAAUGAGCCGAAGUUCCUGCCGCGCCAUGUCGAGCUCGCCUUGGAGAGAUGAGUUCGCUUCCUGGGCAGCCUUGAGCUGCCUUGCAAGCUCGAGCUCCUGGGCGCGGGACCACACCUGCAGCUCCUUCUCCCGGCGAGCCGAAGCUUCGGAUGCCGUCGGAGCCGCCGUCUCCAGCUCUCCGACCUCCCGACGGAGGCGCUUGAUCUCUAGGGAGAAGCCGGAGAGCAAGUCCUCCUUCUCCCGCAGACGCUCCUGGAACCAGUCCAGUGAUGCCUGGUGCUCUUCCGCGUCCUUGGCGUGUGUGGCCUUCAGCAACUCGAGCUCCCGCUGGUGCUCCUACUGCUGACCCCACAGUUGACGCAGGACUUCCGCCUCCGGGACCCCUUGCACGGCGGGCGUCGCCCUCACCUGCUGGAGCUCCUCCCAGAGCCAUUGCAGCUUUGAGCGCUGCUCCACCGCCUCCUUCCACACGGUACCCAGCUCUGCCACCACGCGAGCAUGGUGCUGCUGCGCAUCGUUGAAGAAAUCGACAAACAUCCGGUGCUGUUGCUGGAUGUUGUCGAUCACUUGGUACCCUUGUUGGAAGACACUGGGGUCGAAGGUGAUUCGACCCCACGAAUGCCUGGCGAGCGCCCCUGCACCCAAACUGAAGGCGGCUCCGGCGGAGGUGGAAGCCCCCGCUGCGAUCCGGAGGCCGCGUCCGGACUCGGCAGCGCACCCAAUCGAAGUCCCGCGGCUCCCUGCCCACUUCAAGGAGCGGGAUGGGGGCUCGACGGCUUCUCCAGGGCGUCGCUGCCUGUCUCCUUAGGCAGAGGCUGGCCCGCGUUGUCUGCUGCCCGUUGCGCCAUCUGCGCGGCACCUCCCGCAGUGCUCGUCGCUGUCCCGGCAAGCCCCGGGGCGGCUUGUUAGGAGAUCCCGGCAGGAAUGGUGUCCUUUGGGGCGUCAUCGACCGCGUUGGUGAGGUUGAUCACACGCACGUCAGUUCUUGCGGGUGCAGAUGGAGCGCCCCCGACCAACAGUUGGUUAGUGAACGACUCAAAUGAGAGUCCUUGUAUUCACAAACGGGACCCAAGACGAGUCUUAACAUUUUUAUGGUAAACUCCAUUAUCCUGUAUGAAAGAUACUUUCGAGUCAUGAUAUUUGAGUCAGACUUCGUCAUGAAUGACAUACCUGUUGAAGGUGAAGAGUCAUUUGGUUAGCCGAUCUGACUGGGUGCACAGUCUAUGUAACGGCUCGAGACCAACCCUUUUGCUUUUAAGCCCUUUUGGACUGUUUGUAAUUUAAUUAUCUUCAUCGUCGUGUCAUGCUCAUGCCAUCAUCUGCAUAUAUGCCAUGUCAUUAGCAUCAUCUCACAUGUCGCUUGCACAAAAUGUCACUUCUUUUGUGUUGUCAUGUGCUUGUCUUUUGUUGUGCUUGUAAAAGCCUAAAAAUUAUUUUAUAGAAAUCCUAAUUUGGUUUGACAAAAUAAUUCCGGGUUUGAUUAGACCUACCUUUUGUGUUCUUGUUUUAUUAUGAAAACUAAACUUGCAAAAACCUGUAUUUUUGUUUGAGGUUUCUGUUGGCCCAAAAGCCCAUUAAGCCAAUGAAGCGACCGCCCCCGUAAAAAGGGUUCGAUCUCUGUGCUUUAGUGCUAGUCCCUGGAUCGACUCACUAGCACACACAGUUUCAAGAUGUAAUAUCAUAGAACAAAGGUCUCAAUAUUACAACGUAUCAUCCAGAAUAUAAAAGGGUACUUACAACUCGCAUAACCUCACGGGUUAGCUGGAAAUAAAACAAUUGUUUAGCAGCGGAAAACGGAAGAUACAAGGGCACAUCAACACCACGGUGAGAGCGUGUUGGAAUGUAGGCCCGUAACCCAAACAAGUAGAACGUACAUCUUACUCGUCGUCGGAGCUUCCUGCAUCAUUAAACGAUGCAGCCACUAGGGUCAAUACAUUGAAUGUAUUGGCAAGAUUCACUAGGAGUUAUAUCAGAACCUACCAAAUAUAUGCAGUAUUUGGCAAGGUGGAGUUCAGGCUGUUUGCAUGGAAGCAGAACAUAAAUUACCCUACUACAAAGGAAUGUUAUAAUAAUGUUAACUAAUGGACACGGGGUAGACACACCCAUGCUCCUAUUAACCUAGAGUACAUUGAAGUGGAUUCUUCAAGUGCUCCUACCCUGUUCAAACCAUUCAUUUUAUUUAAGAAAUUGGAAUGAGUGAGACUUUCCUUACAGCUCCACAUCUAGUUGCUCAAAUUGUCCGUUGCCGGGGACACGGCUAAGUACUUAGUUUUGACGCUCUCGAGAGUUUGUACACAUUCCCCACAAGAAACCGACGUGUUAAUCCCUUGCUGUCCUCAGGGUAGAGUAGCAACGGCAUCGAUUACGAGAUUUUCAGAGGUAAUUCCCUAAACCACGAGAGAAUCACGCUCCCCCUACACGGCUACCUCAGUACAAUUCCUCGGGUCUAGGUUCAUACAACUUACUCUUGUCUCGCCAGAGCCCAUAUAGCAUUGUGGUUGUACUAGAAGCUUCUAAAUAGGAAACUAGUCCAGUCUCAGUUACCCCAGGUGGCAUUCCACAUUUGCAACGUAGGCGCUCCCCGAAUCCACGGGAGAGACGUCCAUGGACGAUCCAUUCCUGAAUCCACGGGAACUCGACUCAGAGGGACCCAUAGAAAUGGACCUGACGCCGCUAAUCCUCAAAAUCCUCAAAGCAGCCCACCCAGGAUGGUUCAUUGAAUUAGUUGUUUUGCCUUACAUCUAACAAAACAUUUCAUAUAGCCAAAGGCAUAACAAUAUCAUAAUGUAGUUAUUUCCCCCACGAUACUACCAUAGCUUAGCAUUCAAACUACAAUCGAUGGCAAUUUGGUAGCAAGGUAAUGGCGAGGGUAAACUAUACUACCUGGGAUUUAUAGCUAGCAUAGAGGUACGAGUAAUAGUCCUAUCAAUGCAUCUCUACCAACAACACUAAUGCAUAAGUAUUUUAAAACAACAAUAAUAAUGGGAUAUGAUCAAAGUGAACUUGCCUUGUCCAAGGUUGUGGUAGUUCUCGCACUCUUCGCAACAACAAGAAAUACACUCCACACAAUCUAAAAUAAAAGAAACACACACAAUAAACACAACAUUCAAUACAAAAACCAUGCCAUGAUGCAUAUGCCAAGAUGAUGCACACAAAGGUUACUUCUAACGUACAAAGUUUCGUUUCUGUUUUGAAAAGGCUCUCAAAAGAUUUGGACAGAUUAUACAACAUCAAAGUGGUAAUUAAUAUGCAAGAAACAUGAAUAGGGUUUAAAACAAAAGAUUGUGCGGCUUUUGUAACAUAGAGCAAUAGUUAACUUGUAUGCCAUGAUUAAACACAAAAUAAUUCCUUCUCUGGUCCUAAUGGAUAGAGAACAAGCUUAAAUAAUUUUAUAGCAAGCUAACAUGCUCAAAACUAUUUUGAAACAAUUCAUUUGAAAUUUAAACCAUAAACCACCAUUCUGUAAAUAGCUACUAUCUAAGUUAUUCAAAACUGAAAAUAAACAGUGCCAAAAUAUUCCACACGCUGCGACGAUUCCAGAAAGGUGUGGAUCGUAAAUUUUGGACAAACGGUUUAAAAGAUACGUGGUUUUGAAGUUGUAGGGGCUUUUCUGCAAAAGUGCAUUAUCCACUUCGGCCGAAAAUAAAAUAAACAAGAAAGCCUUGCCACGUGGCAGCGCGGGACUGGCCAGUUUCUAGGGUUCCGGCCGGCGGCUAGCUCGCCGGCGGCGGCGCAGGGCGGCGCGGGGCGGCGCGGGGCGGCGCGGCGCGGCGCGGCGCGGGCUGCGCGGAGGCGGCGCGGGGCGGCGCGGCGCGACGGGCGGCGCGCGGGCGGAGCGGGGGUGCGGCCAGGCGGAGCGGGAGGCGGAGGCGGCGCGCGGACGGCGGAGCACGGGCGGCGGGCGGCGGCCGGCGCCGAGGAAGACGGCGGAUGGAGGCGCAGAGCUCCAAAUCGCGGCCGGCUCGCGUCACGGCGUGCGCAAGGAAGAGAGGAGGAAGACUAGGGGGUCGGCGCGGGCGGAGACUCACCGGAACGGCGGCGAAACGCGAAGAACGGCGGUGGCAGCAACGAACUCCGGCGAGCAAUUACUUUCUAACCGGUGCGAAAUUGAACGUGGGGUUUGGGGGAAGUGGAGGAGAAAAGCGAGGCCUUCGGGGUGACGCGCAAGGAUUUGGAGAAAACGGCCCGAGCGCGGAGAAAACGGAGGUGGAGUCGUGGGCAGUUCGCGGGCAUGCGUGGCCGGAUUUUUCGGACGGAGGUUGAAGAUGACGCGUGGGUCCCACCGGUCAGUGAGGGUGGCCGGCCGGUUCGGGCUGGGCCGGUUCGGUUCGAUCCGGUCCGGUCCGGUUUGACCGGUUCGGUCCGGUUUUCCUCGGUUUUUCCUUUUCUUUUAUCUAUUUUCUGUUUUUGAACCUCAAAAUUGAUUCGGAGCUCCAAAUCACUCCAAAUAAAAUGCAACAAAAUUUGUAAAAUCAUAUUUUCAUAUGAUCUAACUUUUGGAGCAAGAAAUUUCUCAAAAUAAAAUAUUUAAAAAUAUAUUUGCCUAUAAAAUGGCUUUUAGGGCCCUUAGGUUAUCAAAACAAAUUAUUUUUCAAAAUACUUUCAAAAACCAAUUAUGGGAUAGCUCUAUAUAUGCAUUAAAUCCCUUUUUACCACGAUACCUUAUUGGGUUAAAAAUGCAAAUAUUCAAGAGCAAGAUCAAAGCCCAAAAUCAAAUAAAAGCAUUUUUACAAAAGGGGUUUUCUGGGCAAAUUUUAGGGUUUUGAAAGUGAUCAAAUGCAAGGGUGACAUGAUGCUUAUGAUAUGCAAUGCAUAUGAAGAAUUUUGAAAAUUGGGAUGUUACAGCCAAACCCUAACCAUAGCCAUUUUAAUCCCCUUUCUUUCUCUCUUUUCCUUUCUUCCUCUUUUUUCCUCCUGCCGCCGCCACCCUUCUCCCUGGCCGAUCCCCAUCUUCUUCCUCUUCCUGCCGCCGCCACCUUUCCAUGGCAGGCUCGCCCUCGAAGCUCCCUUCUCGUGGCCGCCCAGCUCCUCGCCGCCUAUGCUCUCCACGCGCGCCGCCCCGCUUCCCUGACCGCCUCGCCGUGCGCCUCCACCUCGCUAGCUGCCCCGCGCCACCCAGCUCCCUCCUGCCUGCUCUUCGUGCUGCUGUUCCACGUCGCCCGCGCUUGCCCGCGCCUCUCCACCUCGCCGGCGCCGCCUCUCCCCUUCCCCGAGCGCCACCUCGCGCCCUGCUGCUCCCCACACCGGCGACCAUCCCCACAGCUCCCUCUCUCUCUCCCCUGGCCACCUCCCUUGCUGGUCGCCCCUGUCCCUCACCGGCCUGAUCUCCUCCGCCCGCGCCAUUCCUCCUCCCGGCCUGCUGCUGGCCGUCGCGCCCUGCCGUUCGUCACCGCCAGCGCCUCCCCUUGCUCCAGCGCCGUCCACCUCACUGCUGGUCUCCUCUUCCCAGCACGCCGCCAAGCUCCUCCGUCGCCGAGCUCCCUUGUCUGCACCUCGCCGGCGCCGCCUGCUGCCCCUGGCCGCGCCGCCCCCACCUGCCGCUCGCCGUCAGCCUCCUCGUGAUACGGGUCCGGGUGGCCCGAUCUUUCGAUGAGAUUGGUAACUCUCGAUUUGGGUAGGAGGUGACGUUGACGAUCCGACUACGGCCUAGGAGGCAGCGCCUUAGCAAUCGAUACACCAACUCCAAAGGGUUAUUGAUCACGCGGGGGCACGAUCAACCUGACCACGAAGGUCUUUGUUCCUGCAAGCAAUCGAAGAACAAGCAAGAACAAGAUAAAUAGCGGAUGCAAUCUAAAAUUGUGAAUAUACUAUAUCAAACCAAUGUCUCAACGAGACGAUAAGUUGGGGUUCCGAAAGCGGUAAAACAGGUGGUCUAACCGACACACGCGAUUACACGAAGUAGUAGCGAUGGCUAACUUUUAACUAAACAAAACCCAAGGCUCCUUAGGGGGGCUCAUGGGGUAUAUAAAGGAGGAGGGAGAGAUAUUUUCGUCCACCUUGAAUAAGGAGUCCGAAAUCCAACUCUAUCUCUAACUUUCCUAAAAAACUACAACUCUUUAGAAAACAGAAAAACAGAUCCGUCAGCUUGUUUUGUCCGCCACGAUCAGCACGAGUCGAAUCUCUUGAUGGGGCCAGAUCCGUUGGAAAGCUCUCGUAAUUACCUUUCCAACAAGUACUUGUUUGCUUGAUUUGGACUCCGGAUGCGGCCUGGGUGAUUAAAACAAAUUCGGGUCUCCUGGCAGCUCGGACCCGAAUCGGAUUCAACUUUAAUUCGUGAUAUCUUUCUCUAGCAAGCUCCGAAUCAUGUGCCGUUUGAUUUGUUGCAAAGUACACUUUAAAUCCUUCCCUCUCAGCUGUAUGAAUGCUUGAUUCUUGUUGGCCCUCCCGUUCGCCUCCAUCGUAUCUCAUCUUGACCUUGGACUUGAAAAGCUCGACAAGAUGCCUACGUAAUAAAACGAGACAAGAUAGUAGUAGCUCCGCCUCUUCAUAAAUAUGACAAUGAAAACAAUUACUACUUGAAUUCACCUGAUUAUAAAUCUUGUCAAAUAUUAUAGAAUUGAGGGCACCAAAGGUCGUAUCCAUGGUUAGCAUGUCCAUAUCAUCCUCCCUUUCUUGAAUGGAAAGCCGUCCUCGGCGUCGUUUGUGCUGUAAAGAGACUGACAAAAUAGACAAAGUGUGUGCAUGGUAUAUGUAUAUGUCAUCCAUCUUUAUACAUCUCCUUUCUUGCACAAUUAAUCUUUUAUAACAAAGUCUCAUGACAUAAUUAGUAAAACAAUCAUGAUGAAUAACAUUCCAGCAAGAAGAUUGACAAUAUUGUUUGCAUUUAUAAGCGAAACGAUUUCUUGUAUUUGGUUUGCACCGCUCACCAUUACACCAUCCCAACAUUGGACAAUAAUAAUGAAUAGUAUCCAAAUUAGUUACUACAAUAUGCUGAAAUUUAGAGCAAGUCAAAGCACUAAUAUUCAAACAAGCAUGUAAAUAACUAUUUGGCAAAUAAUCAACACCUAUAUUGGAGGUCCUAUCAAAAUGAUUAAGCAUGUGCAAAAAUUGAUUUUCUCCCAAGAGAGGAAAAUUAUCACAAGUAGUGCAAAUCUCAUGCACCAAAAUGAUAUUGUUCACAUCAUGUUGUCCAAUUAAAUGAAUUGUGUAUCCAUGAACAGCAAAAGAUUUCAAAGUUGUUAACUCACACAGUUUAUUCAUUGCAUGCGACAAAUACAUGGGACUAUCAAGUGCAAUAUAACACAAAGAAUUAAUAGGUGGAUCGUUCUCAAUCACUCCAUGUGUAAUUAAGUCGACACAACCUAAACCAAAUUUAUCUACAUCACAUGUUUCUCCCAAAACAUUAGUUAUUUCCUCACAUGAUUCAUUCUCAUCAAUAUCAAAAUUAAUAUGUGCACUCAAAUCAUUAGAAGAAUUAAUUUCAGCAGUAGGUGCACUCAAAUCAGCAUGUAAAUCAACAAUUUCACAUGGUGCAGAAAAUUCAACGAGUAUCUCAUUUAUUUGAUCACAUGUCAUAUUUUGUUCAGCAACACAAUCGUCUUUAUCAUUACCUUGUAGGCUCAACACGUUUCUUGUACACCUUCUCUCCAAUUUCCUCUCCGCUUCACGAGCAAGAUUAAACAAACACAAUAGAGAGUCGUAUUUUCCGUAUUCAAUUAUGUAAGAAAUAUCAAAGUUAAGCCCACAAUAAAACCUAUCCAUUUUUCUUUGUUCGGUUUCAUCUAAACCAGAUCGCAAGGUUAAAAUUUGGAACUCAUGGUAGUAAUCAUCAACAGUUUUAUCAUCUUGUGUCAAACGUCGUAAUUUGGAACGCAACUCAUAAGCAUAACUUGGAGGAACAUAUUUUUCUCUCAUGAUUUUCUUCAUACCAAUCCAAGUGUGAGGUAUUUUGUUUUCUCUAACUAUCUCACACCACCAUGAUAAUGCAUCAAAACGAAAUUUACUACUAGCAAUUUGGACCUUACGACUAUCUAGUACCUGGAAGCAUGUGAAUUGUUCAGUUAAAGCUAGCUCCCAAUCUAUAUACGUUUCAGCAUCAUUUUCCCCCUCAAAGAAAGGUACACACAAUUUAAUUGUAUUAGAAGGAUUGUUUUGUACCGUUGCCGUGGCAUUAUGAACAAGAGACGUGGAGGAUGGUCGUGGUGAAAAGCACUCAUCGCGGUCACGGGAUAGCAUCGGUCUAGUUGCCAUGCUUCGUGUAAGUCCUGUCAUGGUUAGUAGAAAACAAGAAACAAAUCACAGUAAUAUGUUCCUAUCAACUACUAGGAUGUGGCUACAAGUCGCUCAACUCUCAAGCUAAAAAUCAAGUUCUUACCAUGCAAAACAGGAAGGUGAUGGCCAGCGGCGUGACCAAGCCCUCCGAAGAUUAAAUGUAUCGAUGCCUCGGUAACAAACCAACCUAGGUGUAGAAUCUGUGGAGCUUGGAGGCUUUUGUGAGUAGCAAAGAAUAGCAAAUAAUCAAAUCAGCAAUGCAAAGUUGAAAAUAUGCUCAAUAAUGCUAGUCCUAGCUGCUGGAGUCGAUAAGAACGAAUUACAGAAAUAAUCUACGCCUAGAUACUGAAGAAGGUAGGAUAGAAAGAUGGCACAAGAAGUAAAUCUCUGGGAUUUUUUUUUCUUUUUUUUUUCCUUUUUGUGGCCUUCUGUUUGGCUUCUUAUUCUUUUCUUCUUCUUUUUUUUUCUUUUUUUUCUUUUUUUACCCCAGAAACUCACGCAAAAGAAGGACCGGAAAACUGUACGUCGGUCUGUCGAAGAACAGCAAAGGCUGCAGUAAGAAAAAUUCAGAAAAAUAUGGAAAGAUAUGGGUUAGAAGGGUAUCGACACAAGCUUUCCAGCAAGGGCAAGAUCACUCAAAACGGAUAUCGGACGGUGGAGAAACUGAGAAACACCGGGCUGCAGCGACGUCGGAAAACGGAUGCAAAAACUUGGAAGCUCAGAAAGUCCACCUUACAAACCGAAUUUGGGGGUCAAAGUGCAGGGCAACGCCCUGGAUAUUUCCUGAUGCGCCUCGUCCUGAGCUUUCCAAAAAGUCCAAGAACGUCCAAAUCCGAGUUGGUACGCAAAAGAUACGCCCGUUUUACUGAACACGGAUCAAACCCACCCGAAACUAAAAAUUCUACUCGGACUCGGAUCCGAAACUGACUCGAACUCUUUUCUUUUUUUUUCGUUUUUUUUUUCUUUCUUUCCUUUUUUUUUUCUUUCCUUUCUUUUUUUUUUUGACAACUUUCCGAACAACUUGAUCUCUAAACAAAAUUCGAUCUAUUAUGAAAACUUUCCAAAAGCACUCUUGAUUGGAUUCGGACUCGAACUUGCGGCUGAAAACUAUAACUUGCCGACUCAAUGUAGAACUCGAUGUAGGACACGGUGUAGGACUCGACGAGGGACUCGGUGUAGGACUCGAUGAGGGACUCGGUGUAGGACUCCAAGAGGGACUCGGUGUAGGACUCGAAGAGAGACUCGGUGGAAGAUAUGGUGGCGGCGGGAGAUUAUGGCGGUGGUGUGGCAGGAAGUUUGGCGGCGGAAGAUUGAUGAAGGAAACCUGCGUCACACGAAGAACAAGAAAACCAAAAGCAAGUUCGAUCUAGUAGAAAAAAUCUGAAAAACGAUCCAAUCUAAUCCAGCAACUCGACACGAUUAAUGCAGCAAAGAUUCAACAAUGCAAAUACUAAAGUGAAAAUUGCAAGGCUCAGAUUGGUUCUAGGACAAGGUAACUAAUUCUAAUUUUUAUUUGGCUUUUUCUGGACGAUAG
rnacentral:lncRNA from 1 species